GAUGAAGAACGUAGCGAAAUGCGAUAAGUAAUGUGAAUUGCAGAAUUCAGUGAAUCAUCGAAUCUUUGAACGCACAUUGCGCCCCCUGGUAUUCCGGGGGGCAUGCCUGUUCGAGCGUCAUUUCACCACUCAAGCCUCGCUUGGUAUUGGGCAACGCGGUCCGCCGCGUGCCCCAAAUCGACCGGCUGGGUCUUCUGUCCCCUAAGCGUUGUGGAAACUAUUCGCUAAAGGGUGUUCGGGAGGCUACGCCGUAAAACAACCCCAUUUCUAAGGUUGACCUCGGAUCAGGUAGGGAUACCCGCUGAACUUAAGCAUAUCAAUAAGCGGAGGA
rnacentral:misc_RNA from 1 species